rnacentral:rRNA from 1 species
GAUGAACGCUAGCUACAGGCUUAACACAUGCAAGUCGAGGGGAAACGACAUCGAAAGCUUGCUUUUGAUGGGCGUCGACCGGCGCACGGGUGAGUAACGCGUAUCCAACCUGCCCAUCACUUGGGGAUAACCUUGCGAAAGUAAGACUAAUACCCAAUGAUAUCUCUAGAAGACAUCUGAAAGAGAUUAAAGAUUUAUCGGUGAUGGAUGGGGAUGCGUCUGAUUAGCUUGUUGGCGGGGUAACGGCCCACCAAGGCAACGAUCAGUAGGGGUUCUGAGAGGAAGGUCCCCCACAUUGGAACUGAGACACGGUCCAAACUCCUACGGGAGGCAGCAGUGAGGAAUAUUGGUCAAUGGGCGAGAGCCUGUACCAGCCAAGUAGCGUGCAGGAAGACGGCCCUAUGGGUUGUAAACUGCUUUUAUAAGGGAAUAAAGUGAGAGUCGUGACUCUUUUUGUAUGUACCUUAUGAAUAAGGACCGGCUAAUUCCGUG